UUGUUCUAUUCAUCAUGACCUCAUAGAGCCUUUUCUUUUUCUCAGGUCUCAUUUACUUCCUCUUUUUUUUUUCCUUUUCCUUUUCCUAUACCUUCCUUUGGUCCUUAUAAGUAUCCAAAUUGCCCUAAAAUAACUUCUGCACAUGCAGCAUUAGGAAGCAGUGUUUCCCAACCACUACAUUUGAAUGAUUCAUUCCUCUGAGGACCCUCAAGUACUUCAGAAGAACUAAAAAAUGAAUAUCACGUUACACCAAAGAAGAAAUGAAAGCUGCCAGUGUCUUCUGAAGUUAAACAGGCUCCUGUUCUUUGACCCAGCAAUCCAAUCCUAGGUAUUUAAUUGUUCCCUGAGGUUUAAGGCAGUGGACUGAGGAUAAUACAGGCUCCAGCUUUCAUUAGUUCAAUGGAUGAUGCUGUUCAAUCCAUACUGUUUGGGGCAUUUGUUGAAAAUGUCAUUCAGAAGAUAUCAACACUUUCUGAGUCAUGGUUUGAUUGAAUUUAUAGAAUUAUGUGAUAGAAACCACAUUCUUCACAAAAGUCACAAGGCAAUAAUGACGACAAGGGUUGAAGAUGAAAGAUGCCAAAUAUUCUGAUCAAUUCAAUAAGGCAAAAAGACAAGUUAAUUCACUCAGUGCUCCAGGCAUCAACUUCAUAGAAGGAAUGGAAAUUCUACCUGUUUCCUAAAGAACUACAGAGGACUCCAACUAAGCCACUAUGCUGGGAGCAGAGAUGGGGAAGAAUUGCUGAGUCAUGAUAAGAGAAGGCACUAUAGGAAGAAACAGUGAACUCUUAACAGCUGGGCAAGCAAUGAGUCAGCCUGGGUGGUCACUCCAGAUGCUCCCGGACACAUCCCAAUUUCUAGGAUGCCUUGCUUGUUGUUCUUGUCAUGGUCUAAACCAGCUUACCCCACUGCCACAUUUAUCCAUCAGCCUAUGGGAAAAGGGAAAAAGGAUGUGGAAGUGAAGUGAUCUUUAAAAGCCAAGGAAAGGAAGACAGGAAAAAUGAAGAUAAAUCCCAAAAGAUCAAUAUUUACUUUUAGUCUGCAUUUAAGUGUGCAUCGUUGAGAGAAUCCACGGCAACUUUUAUUAAAGAUAGAAGUUGUACUUGCCAACACAUCAACAAUUUAUGUUUAGAAACAAGAUACUCAAUCUCAAGUUAUCUUCCCUCUGAAAAUCAGAGAUCACUUCCAAUUCUCCUUAAGCUCUUAUGCAAGUUCUUCCAGCUGGAUCUAGAAACCAAAUUGACACCAGGCAGAUUAACAAGAGAAAACAUACAAAUCUUAUUCAUUUUACAUGUACGUGGGGAUCUUCACAAGAAAGAAAAUUAAAAAGUGGCCAAAGCAAGAUGCUUUUAUGCUUUUUAGACAAAGAAUGAUAAAUUUGAGAAGAAAUGUCAAGACAAAGAAAAUCUGGCUAGGAGUAGUACAUUUCUAGGGGAGUCAGUAGGAGAUAUAUUGGGGGACAUGUAAAACUAGUGAAAGAUAAGAGUUACUUCAUUAAGCAUAUUUAUCCAGAUCCAUUACAGUUCUCAAUUCCCAGUGUCUCAUGAUAAGGGCCAUCUUCUCACCCUGGUACAGAGAGAGUACCCCUCCCAGAGGAACGUUUAUGGCUUGCUGCAUGCAGGAAGAGACAGGUCAGCUAGCCUUUUCUAAACUACAAUUUCUCCAAUGUUUUCAACUCAAAAUAAUCAAUACACCAAUUCAGCAUGUUGUGGGAUGGCACAUCCUUCCCUCCUUUAAUAUCUAAGUUAAUAUUGAUGAUUUUGUAUAUUAAGAAGGUCCCAAAAUCGAAUGAGCUAUGGGCACCACAAAGCCAAGAUCUGCUCCUUAGGAGGGGUGUACUGGUACUGAAGAAGCAAGGAAACUCAAAAAUUGUGCUGCGAUCAAAACAUCAGAAGGAGAAUCUGAAGUGUCAGCCCACUGGAAGAAGCAAAAGCAUUUAGGGAAGUAGUUGCAU
rnacentral:lncRNA from 1 species